GGCAUGAGUAGAUGGGGCUGAAGAUACAGGUGGCCCUGGGACUCUAAGUGUCAGUAUGGGGAACUGCAACAGAGGUGGGCUGUGAGCUUCAUUUUAAAAAGGACCUAGUGAGUGGAAGACUAGCAGGGAACAGAUACGAUGGCAGCAAAGGCUCAGCAUCCAGCUGCAAACAGGGAUUGGCGGAGACUACACCUGGCUGGAGGUGGGGGAAGCACAGCAGACAGAAAACAGCCACUCAGAAGCCAAGACUAGCUUCAAAACUGAAACCACCUUGGAAGUUAUAAUCACCAUGUUAAAAAUUACAGUUCUCAGAAAGCACAGGGCACGAAAUAUCCCCACCAAUAAGCAAGUGAAGCAGAAAGACCUGAGACUUCCCCUUGGGUUACAGCUGGUGUCCAGUUCAACAAUCCUGAGGUUAACUUGUACUAAGCUGCCAGCAAGGUUGCUUAGUUACUUUGCACUAGUUGCCUGUCAGACAGAGUAAGGCAAGCUGCCUUUCAGACAACACGAAGGGCAUUCUGGUAAAUUGCCAAGAAUAAUGCUUCAAAGUGGGACAGAUUAGAACAGCAAGACUUCAAACAAGACUUCAAUGUGUAUGGGCAUGUCUCCUUGUUCCCAGAGACGUAAAGCACUUGAUGGCUUCCAAAACCCUUUCUUUAGGCAAUGUUGCUUGGCAUUCCUUGUCAUGUAAGCCCCAACAGCUGCUCUGCCCCCAAGUUCCAUCUGCCAUGACACAUGCAGGAUCUUCUCCACUGAAAAUCAUAUGCACUGUUAAUUACAGCAAGUGGAAAUUCUGCCACAGUGCACACUGUGACUCUUCGGGCUGCCAAGGCUGUGCCUUGAACAGGAAUCGUUCCAAGGUGUAUAAAGAUUGCCAAUUUAAGAGUUAACGUUAAAGAUUAACUAAGAACUCUCCACGAGAUUAUUACGACCUGACAUUCCGAUCACCUUUCAGGCCUCAAAGCCCUCUGCAAAGAUGGCUACUGUCCCGCUUUCAUGGAGAUAGACCUUAACAUGGAGUCAGUGGCCCAGUCAGAAAUAGAAACCAGAUCUCAGAGUUUCUGGAUGUAUGUACUAGACAACAUGUGGCGUUGCAUGUUGGAUCUGCCUUUUUCCUUCUAAACUACUACAGAGCACUGAUGGUUAAACGAGACCUUGAAGGUUCAUGUCUCCGGAGGGUUAACUGCACUUCAUCCUGUUGAGAAGCAGAAAGCCUGCCAAACGGGCCACAGGAUGAUUGAGGUGCUGAACAAGCACUCAAGGAAAAGAAGGCUGCUGCAGAAAAGCUAAAUGAAUUCUUUGCAUCAGUCUUCACUGCAGAGGAUGUGAGGGAGAUUCCUAAAGAGACUGGAUCAGGUGUGGGUGACAAAUCUGAGGAACUGUUCCAGAUUGAGAUGUGUUGGAAGGAAUCCACAAGGGAAGGCGAGAAACCCGUUGCCUUUUCCAGGAACCCCUCUGUAAAGAGACUCUACCCACAACCAAUAUCUAGAUCAUAACAUGUGACCUUGGGCACAGAUCUUCAGCUUUGACACACGGCAAUUAUUAUUAGUGCAUCACAGACCUCGGUUAAAUCACUGUUAUAGGCUGCAAAAAUGAAGAUAAGGCCUGCCAGAGAGAGAUGAGACUUGACUGUCACUAUUACGUAACUGCAAUAUAAGCUAUGCACCACCACAGCUUUGGGACGGACAGAUGAAAUAAAAAACCCAAACCCACAGAAAUCUCAAACCAUUAGUCCAGGCUCCCACAUUCCCACUCACUAAAUCCCAAACCCCUCCAAUUCUAUUCAGGUUCUUAUAAUGUCGCUAUCACCACGGCAUCGAAAUGCUUCACAAAGGUCUGAGUAAGUGACA